rnacentral:tRNA from 1 species
GAGGAUGUGGCUCAAGUGGUAGAGCGCAUGCCUGGCAUGCACAAGGCCCUGGGUUCAGUCCCCAGUACCUCCU